UACGAAGGGGGCUAGCGUUGCUCGGAAUCACUGGGCGUAAAGGGUGCGUAGGCGGGUCUUUAAGUCAGGGGUGAAAUCCUGGAGCUCAACUCCAGAACUGCCUUUGAUACUGAGGAUCUUGAGUUCGGGAGAGGUGAGUGGAACUGCGAGUGUAGAGGUGAAAUUCGUAGAUAUUCGCAAGAACACCAGUGGCGAAGGCGGCUCACUGGCCCGAUACUGACGCUGAGAGACGAAAGCUAGGGGAGCGAAUGGG
rnacentral:rRNA from 1 species